rnacentral:rRNA from 1 species
UAGGGAAUAUUGCUAAAUGGGCGAAAGCCUGAAGCAGCAACGCCGCGUGAACGAAGAAGGCCUUCGGGUCGUAAAGUUCUUUUGCGUGGGAUGAGGAAGGACAGUACCACGAGAAUAAGUCUCGGCUAACUACGUGCCAGCAGCCGCGGUAAAACGUAGGAGACGAGCGUUAUCCGGAUUUACUGGGCGUAAAGCGCGUGUAGGAGGCAAUACAAGUUGGAUGUGAAAGCUCCCGGCUCAACUGGGAGAGGUCGUUCAAGACUGUAUAGCUAGAGUGGGGCAGAGGUAGAUGGAACUCCGGGAGUAGUGGUGAAAUGCGUAGAUAUCCGGAAGAACACCAGAGGCGAAAGCGAUCUACUGGACCCUGACUGACACUGAGACGCGAAAGCCAGGGUAGCAAACGGG